ensembl:lncRNA
AUUACCUUGGUGUGCAUAUGUGUGUGUGUGUGUGUGUAUGUAAAAGAGAGUGGGAGAGAGAUUGAGACCUUUCUGAUUACAUUAAAGCCCCAAACCUCAGACCAGGGGCUUGUCCUCUUUUUUAGAUUACCAAUAUCCUGAAUCUUUGCACCAUUCUGAGGUGAUGGGUUGGUCGAUAUGAGUUUUACCCCCAGUAGCUGCCUCUAAAAUUCUGCAUAUUAUCAGCUAUUUUCAAAAUAUCCUUAAAAGUUGGAGUAAGAGGAGUUAGCCAGCAGAGAAAUGUGAACAUCAGACUUGAAAGUGUGUUGUGAGCUCUCCUGAUCCCCCCUCUUCCCAUGUUGGUUGAAGAAGAGGGCAUCUCCCAAGGUCAUGUGAUAUGAGUUGGGGCAGAGGUGGAACUUGAACUUGAGUCCUCGAGGGCUAAACAUUUGCUCUCCUGGGAUUUCGUAACUAAGCUUUACUUUAGUCUGCUUAUUGCUGUUGUGACUUAAAUCCCAGGCAAUCCUAGGCCAGCAGAUUCUGAGUUGCAUCAACAGCAGUCUACAUGACUUGUUAAAUGCUUCUUCCUGGUUCAGCUAAUACUCUACACACACUGCUGCUGGGGAAAGCAGCCUAUUCAUUCAUCUGUUCAUCCAGUACCUAGAGAUCAGCCACACCAAGGAUGCAGUGCUGGGCACAUUAGACACGUGUCCUGCCCUCAUGAACUCCUCAGCCUCGGUGUCCCCACUAUGUAUAAGUAUAGGAACUAUAAGGCAAAUGCUGUGCCAAUUUGAGGACAUAUAACAAGGAGGCCAGCUUUAGCUGAGGCCAGUGGGACUUGCCUGCCCCUUGCUUUCUUUCUCUUUUUUAAAAAUUAUUUAUUUGGCUGCGUCAGGUCUUAGUUGCACCAGGAUCUUUCAUUGUAGUGCACAGACUCUAGCUGCGGCUUUCAGGAAUAGUGGUUGCGGCAUGCUGGCUUAGUUGCUUGGACACAUGUGGGAUCUUAGUGCCCCAAUCAGGGAUUGAAAACCUGCAUCCUCUGCAUUGUGAGGCAGAUUCUUAACCAUUGGACUGCUAGGGAAGUCCCUGCCCCUUACUUUCUGAUGGAAACCUAGUGUUGAGUCCAGGCUCCAAAAAAUAGGUACAAGUUUCAGUGAAAUCCUUUCUAGCUCCAGACACUGUGCUGGUCUUUAUGACUUUAGCUACAGAUCUAGAAGAAAGGAUGAUGAGACCAGAAAGAGUGCUGAUGCUCAAGCUGAGGUGAUGUUGGCAACAGCCAGCACCUCAGGGUGUUUGGGGGCGUCCUCCUUCUUCUAUGGGGAGGCACUCCUUAGUCCCAUUUUACCCAUGAGGCAAGGGGCCCAGAGACUCUGUCUGUGUUGCUUGACCUUGGGCUUUGUCCCCACAUCUGCAAAACAGAGAGAAUAAGAAUCUCUGGCUCACAGGGGCCAUGAGAAUCGCCUGGAACAACAGCACCAGGUCUCACCUUGUAGUCUCUGAGGAAUAUUUCCUUUUUUCUUCCAGGAACUUUGGUCCAUGUGGCAUGGGCUGAGUUUCAGCUAGAUGUGUGUGACUGCUGGGGGCUGGAGUACUCUUCAACCUCCUGUCCUCCUGUUCCAUGAGCCCUCCUUGGAAUCAGCAGUGAGAAAUCCUAGAAGAACUUAACUGUAUGAACUUCAUUCAAGACCUUGAAUCUGAACUUCAUUUGGGAGAUAUUAGGGAUCCGCUCAAGUUCUUUGAGCUAGGAGUCAUGACAGAGCUGCUUUUAGGUGAUGAGAGACCAGGGUGGAGACACGGUACUUGAAGAUGGGGUGAGAGCUAGAGGUCAACAGUUGACUUCAUCGUGGCUCCUCUGUUAAUUCAGUUCUAAAGGGACGCUCUACUCCUGAACGGGGCAGGGAGAGGCUGGGAAGGACAGGUGGGAGAGUGGUCAUCUCUCCCCCAAAGCAUUUAGUGGCUACCAUGUAAUUUGAGCCCGGCUCUGAUUUAACCUAUGUGGCCCAUCUGUUGCCCCCAAAGCGUCUGCCUCAGUGUCUGCUUCGGUGUUGGCUGGCGAUUACACUGUUCCGCUCUUUGAAGAAGGCAGUGGCUUUAGAUGCUAAAUUUAAAUUGCUACCAUUCAAAAUUAAAGUGGUACUCGUGCUGCCAGUCACAUAUCAGGAAUAAGGCUAUAGUUGCUCUUCAUGCUAGGAAUUUUCCAGAUAUUAUUUCUGAUUUUCUCAGCAACCUUGAAAAAUGGGUGUUAUUAUUUGUCCUUUAUAGAAAAGGAAGCUGAAGCUCCGAGUUUCCUCUAAGCAACAUACCAAGGAAACACAAUUUACUAAGUUGAAAAAGUAGCCUGCUUUGAGUGUGCAAUCUAUUGCUUUCUUCUUAAUCACUUUUUUUUAAACAGAUGAUCCAUUUUUCCAGAUGAGGAGACGAGGCUUAAAAGAGUCAUCCCAGUGAAGAGUGCAUUGUUGUUAUUCCCAAUUUUAUGAACGAGAUGACUGAGGCCCAGAAAAAGUAAGUCAUUUGUUCUUACACCUCAUCUAAUGAGUUAAUGGAACAAGGUAUUGGGUCCAGGGCUCCUAACUCUGGCUCUCAUUUUUCUAAUGAUGGGACUUAGAAAUCACCUGGUUUAACCUCUGGCUGCCUCCAUCAUCCAAUGGACAGAGGGACAUCCCAACUUUGCUUGAAGAUCCAACGUGGCCCCUUCCAGGGUUAAACAGCCACAACCUAGUGUUAAAAAGAGUAGUGACUAUUUAUUCAGCUCCUGCUAUGGACCAAACUUGAUACGAAAUGAACAUUACCCCUAACCCUCAGAUCAACCUCAUACAGUUUUAAUUUGUGGGAUCUGAGUUUCACAGAACACAAGUGACUUGUCCAAAGUCAUGCAACUGGUGAGAAAGGGAGCAAGGAUUCAAACUCAAGUCUGUCUUACGUCAGACUCAUGGCACCACCCAUUUUUUUUCUUAUAUUGAGUGAAAAUCAUCCCGAAUUCCCAUACAGAUGUCUUAGUUCUGCCCCCUGUGGCUGCUUGGAUAAGCUUGCUUGCUUUUUUUUUUUUUUAACCAAUAGGCCUUCCUGGCUGAUACUGGGUGACAUCUUUGCUUUCUAAGCCUUGACUCCUCCAGGUAUAGAGUUCCUGGAUCAUCUAACUCUUUCUGAUGGGAUGUGGCUGUCAGGUGGUUUAUUCAUCUGUCGUUCACCCUGUAACAUGGAGCAUAGGGUGGAAGAAAGAGCAUCAGGCUUGAGGUCUAAAGAAGUGGGUUAUCUUUCAGUUCUGGAUUCAUCACUGUCCUCUUCUAUUCCAUGAAAAUACCACCUAAUUCUUAGGGUUGUUAUAAGAACACAGGUAAGAACUAAGGAUGUGAUAUGUCCUCAGUAAAGGGUAGAUUAAGUAUUUGGAUGUCCAAGGUGGUAGCAUUAUUUAUAACAGCACAACCAAUAAGAGAAAAGCCAUUCAUAAUAAAACAGACAAUAGCACUAACUUAAACAUUCACAACAGGAGAAUGGAUAAAUAACAGUGGCACAUCAAUUUAAUGGAAUGUUAUCAGACAAUAAAUUUUUCUUGAAAAAAAAAAGCCUAUGAUAAGAUGAUAAGCAAAACAGGCAAGAUAUGCCAAUUAUAAAUCAAUUAGGCUGAAAAAAACAAACAAGACCUAAAAUUUUAGUAUGAUCUCAACCCUACGGGAAGCAUGGUUGGAGUAAAAUACAUCCAAACACUAAGAACAACUAUCUCAAUUAUCUGAAGGUGAUGGGCUUAUAGGUUGUGUGUGUGUGUGCGCUUCUUUGCAUUGUUCGUUUUCCACGUUUUCUGCAAUGAGCCUGACUCACUUAAAAAUCAAUACAUGAUAUGGAGCUCAGAAUGGAGCACAAAAAUCUUACCCCAGAUAGAGCCUCACCAGCCUAAAGAUCAAUUAGCACCUUUUCAAAACUCAUUCUUUUUCUUUUUUCCUGCUGUGCCAAAGUGCCAUUUCAGCGUCUCUCCUCUGCUCACUCAUCUCUUUUGGCGUCACUAUCUUGAUAUGACUGGACUCAAAGAGGAAGCAAAUACAAUAGGCUAAAGCCAGUCUGUAGGAACCGCCUGGGCUCAUGUUGCAAAUAGGAUGUGCUGAGAUAGUCU